UGGUGGUUGGAUAUAAUCCACGGUAUGGGUAGAAAGUUAAAACAAAAAAGGAGGGAGAAAGUUAAAAGUAGCAAACAGUGAUAAAAAGAAAGGAAGACAGAUGUAGCUGAGUCGUGUCAGCCCAGAGCUUGAAGGGUGCUCUUUGUUCGCUUUAAACAUGGCACAACUGCAGAAAGCUGCGGAUGUAAUUAAGACAUCGUGCUGUAUUUCCUCUUCAUUGUCACAGAAGAACUGCGUCUGUUCACACAAAGCUUGCUUUUCACUUCACAGCCCACAGCAUUGCAGACAGCAUUCAGGACAUCGGCACACCAGAGGCUGCUGAAGCAUCGUUGUUUUCCUUCCAGCCUUCUCAGUGCCCACUCCUCUGCCUUUCUGUGCAUGCCAAAAGCAUGCUGUGUGCUCCAGUGCCUGGAGGCAGCAUCACAUAAUGGGUGGGAACUCCUCUGGCCUGUUUUGCUGAGAGGAAGCAAUGCAAAGAUGCAAAUACCUGAACUCAGAGCCAUGGAACUUCCCACACUGGUUUCAUGAAGUUUCCACAGCAGAACCAGGCUCUUCACAGUUACCAAACCUGCUGCCUCGAGCAGCAGCGUGAGCUGUGGGCAGGGAGAUGCCCCAGUGGUCCAGCACAGGUUGAAAGCCUCAUUUUCUGAAAGCCAGCUACUGUAUUCAUGUAGGAUCUCAAUGGCAACAACCUGAGGGCAUACAGCUGCAUGCCAGGAUCGUGGCUUUCAUUAGCACUCUUCUUCUAAUUGGCUUGCCAAUAGUAGGUGGUUAGUCAUCAACAUGUACGAGUUGCCAUGGCUGGCAGGUGGUUGCUUCAGAGCUGAUUUGGUUCCUUUGAUACGAUGAUCUGGUACUGGGAGGUGGGAAAAAUCUCCUUGGACUGGAUGAGCCUGUAGGUCUUUCCCAGCUUUGGUGAUUCUAUGAUUCCAUUCCUUGCAGCAGCGCAUCAAGAGCUGAACCCGCACACACAGCUCUCCAUUCCUGUGACAUUUACGCUGAGUUGGGCUCUGCAGGAGCACUGCUGGCAGUGAGCACAGUGCUCCCAAAGGCACACUGGGAUGCACUCAGGAUGUGGGCAGGUAAGGAAACACAUGCAGGAGUGCUGGAAUUGCUAUGGAGCACGGGUUACUUACAGCUACAAGGACACUCUUAGAAGCAGAACUUCUGCAAUCCUCUUGGACAAAGCAGGCAAAGCAAUUAAAACCAUCGUGCUGUGACAAAUAAGCAAGCAUUCCUUCUUGGUCCCUCCCUCCUUUUCUUUCAUCCACUCCAAAAAGCCAGAGGUACCGAGAUGGGGGAUUUGGAACUGAGAAGGACUGCAAGGAAGUUUCAGCCCAGGCGAUGGACAAACCUAUUUUUAGUGGAAUGGAAAAUGCUCCUCAGAGGCCGUGGAGCGCUGCAGUGUGAGACACAUUUCCUCCUUCCUCGUUUCUGCUGGAAGAAGAGAACUUCAGAAGCAAAGAGCAAAAAUAAGAAAACUGCCACUCCAGUGGCUGACUGCCUGUGGCUGCAUUGGCAGCAGCAUUUUCUUGGGGGAAAAUCCCAGUGUCACCUGGUUCUGAGUGUGCAGGGGCUCAGCUGGGAUGCACAAAACCUGGGGUGAGCUGCCAAGGCUUUGCAGCUCCGAAACACUCUAAGAUUUCCCUUCUGUUUUGGGGGGUCAGAAAGGAGUGUUUUUGUUACCAUCCAAACACGUCAUAUGAACUUACACGAAAUUAUCGACUGUGUGAUUGAACGAUGCUCUGCAGUUUGGGCUCUGUAACAGCAAAAGAGCCAACGACGAGUGGUGAUCUUUCAAUUGCCAUGAAAAUACUUCUGACUGUUUUAACAGUGGCCCCUCAAGGCAGAAAUGAUUCCUAU
ensembl:lncRNA